rnacentral:rRNA from 1 species
UACGGGGGGGAGCAAGCGUUGUUCGGAUUUUACUGGGGCGUAAAGGGCGCGUAGGCGGCUCACUACAAGUCAGUUGUGAAAUCUCUGGGCUUAACUCAGAACGGUCAACUGAUACUGUCGGACUAGAGUGCAGAAGGGGCAACUGGAAUUCUCGGUGUAGCGGUGAAAUGCGUAGAUAUCGAGAGGAACACCUGCGGCGAAGGCGGGUUGCUGGGCUGACACUGACGCUGGAGGCGCGAAAGCUAGGGGAGCGAACGGG